GGGGGCGUAAUGGUUUCGACAGGUAUGUGGAACAAGGAUAAGCGAGCUGUGGUACCGAUCCACAUAAAACGCGGUCGUUUAAAAAGAAACGCUAAAACAAACAACAAUUUCGCACUAGCUGCUUAGUCAGCUCGCGUGUCGACUUAGGUUUCCCUGUAGGCUUAAGACCCGGCAUAAUUUAUACAGGACAACCUUGCGUGAUCUCCUGGUAGCGUAAGGGACUUUCAGGAUAGCUUGACCGUAGUCUGCUGAAUUGACGACGACUUAAGCGAAAUAUAAAUAAUCAGCUGCGCUCGGAGAAAGUCCUUCGGAAAUGUUCUUGGACGUGGGUUCGACUCCCACCGCCUUCACCA
rnacentral:tmRNA from 1 species